UAUCACAGCCCUGCUUGGAACGCA
rnacentral:miRNA from 1 species